rnacentral:rRNA from 1 species
GGACUACCGGGGUAUCUAAUCCUGUUUGCUCCCCACGCUUUCGCACCUCAGCGUCAGUACCGAGCCAGUGAGCCGCCUUCGCCACUGGUGUUCCUCCGAAUAUCUACGAAUUUCACCUCUACACUCGGAAUUCCACUCACCUCUCUCGGACUCUAGACACCCAGUAUCAGAGGCAGUUCCGGGGUUGAGCCCCGGGAUUUCACCCCUGACUUAAAUGUCCGCCUACGUGCGCUUUACGCCCAGUAAUUCCGAACAACGCUAGCCCCCUUCGUAUUACCGCGGCUGCUGGCAC